rnacentral:rRNA from 1 species
CAGUGGGGAAUAUUGUCGACAAUGGGCGCAAGCCUGAUCCAGCCAUGCCGCGUGGGUGAAGAAGGCCUUCGGGUUGUAAAGCCCUUUUGUCCGGAAAGAAAAGCUCGAGGUUAAUACCUUUGGGUCCUGACGGUACCGGAAGAAUAAGCACCGGCUAACUUCGUGCCAGCAGCCGCGGUAAUACGAAGGGUGCAAGCGUUACUCGGAAUUACUGGGCGUAAAGCGUGCGUAGGUGGUUCGUUAAGUCUGAUGUGAAAGCCCUGGGCUCAACCUGGGAAUUGCAUUGGAUACUGGCGGGCUAGAGUGCGGUAGAGGAUGGCGGAAUUCCCGGUGUAGCAGUGAAAUGCGUAGAGAUCGGGAGGAACAUCUGUGGCGAAGGCGGCCAUCUGGACCAGCACUGACACUGAGGCACGAAAGCGUGGGGAGCAAACAGGAUUAGAUACCCUGGUAGUCCACGCCCUAAACGAUGCGAACUGGAUGUUGGGUGCAACUAGGCACUCAGUAUCGAAGCUAACGCGUUAAGUUCGCCGCCUGGGGAGUACGGUCGCAAGACUGAAACUC